rnacentral:ncRNA from 1 species
GAGUUUGAUCCUGGCUCUGAGCGAACGCUUGAAGUAUGCUUAAUACAUGCGAGUGAAUAUUUUUUACAAAAAUGUUUGCGAACGGGUGAGUAUAAAGAAAAGAUUGCCUUUUUAUGUAAUACGUAUAAUUGAAUAUAUAAUUAGAUAUUUUUUCAUAAAGUUUAGAUAGGAGUAGUUCUUGUCAACGAUCUUUAGCUGGAUUGAAAGAUUGAUCAGCCACAAUGGGACUGAGACACGGCCCAUACUUCUUUGAAGGCAGCAGUAGGGAAUACUGGACAAUGGGCUAUGGCCUGAUCCGACAAUACUUCGUGAGUGACCAGAAGCUUUAGCGUAAAGCUCUUAUAUGGUGAGGAUAAUGACAGUAACCAUAGAAUAAGCACCGGCUAAUUUCGUGCCAGCAGCCGCGGUAAUACGGAAGGUGCAAGCGUUGCUCUUAUGAAUUCGGCGUAAAGGGAGCGUAGGUGGCUUUCAGUAAUAGAUAAUGUACCAUCAUAAUGUAUUCUUUAUUUAUAUAAAAAAGCUAGAGUUAUUUAAGCGGGUUGUGGUAUUUUUUGAGGAGAGAUGAAAUGCUAUGAUACUUUAGAGAACACCAAUGUUGAAGAAAGCAGCCUUAAUAUAACUGACGCUGAGGCUCGAAAGUGUAGGUAUCGACAGGGAUUAGAUACCCCUUUAGUCUACACCCUAAACUAUACACACUUGUAUUUAUAAAUAAAAGAUACGUCACUAACGUUUUAGUGUGUCGCCUGAGGAGUAUCAUCGCAAGGUUGAAACUUAAAGGAAUUGACGGGAACCGACACAAGUGGUGGAGCAUGUGGUUUAAUUCGAUGAUCCGCGCAAAACCUUACCAUUAUUUGAAUAAAAAUUAAGAAUGAGUAAAUUCAUUUGUUUAUUUUUACAGGUGCUGCAUGGCUGCCGUCAGCUCGUGUUUUGAAAUGUCAAGUUUAUUCUUGAAACGAGCGCAACCUUCAGUUUUUGUUAAGAAUAUCUUCUUUAGAUUUAAUCAAAAACGAUUUAUGACUUAUCUUUUUAAGAUGUCGGACCGAAAUGGAGAUCACGCCAAGUCCUCAUGACCUCUAUAUAAUGGGCUACUUUCAUGUGCUACAAGGAGAUUUACAAAAAAUAAAAUAAAAAAUCUCAAAGUUUGGAUUGUUUUCUGAAACUCGAAAACAUAAAAGAGGAAUCACUAGUAAUCGUAUAUCAGCACGAUACGGUGAAUAUGUACCUCGGUUUUGUACAUACCGCCCGUCACGCUUGGAGAGUUUGAUUGAUUUUAACAUAGUAUAGUUUAUUUUAAUAUGUUUUAUUUUUCACAAUUUCUAAUAAGUUUAUUAUGCAGAAGAUUUUGGAUGAUCGAAGCGAAGUCGUAACAAGGUUACCGUAGAGGAAUCUGUGGUUGGAAUAAUCUAUAC